rnacentral:sRNA from 1 species
UGCAAGUGUUCAGAUUCCAUGUGAGUGUAAUCCUCACAUGGAUUACAUUUGAUAGGACAUUUUUAAAUUUUAAUUUUACAUUUUAAUGACUUUUUAAAAAUACUUUGUGUGUGUGUGUGUGUGUGUGUGUGGUGCUGGGGAUUGAACCCAGGGCCUUGUGCAUGCAA